UACGUAGGGUCCGAGCGUUGUCCGGAAUUACUGGGCGUAAAGAGCUCGUAGGUGGUUUGUCGCGUUGUCCGUGAAAACUCACAGCUUAACUGUGGGCGUGCGGGCGAUACGGGCAGACUGGAGUACUGCAGGGGAGACUGGAAUUCCUGGUGUAGCGGUGGAAUGCGCAGAUAUCAGGAGGAACACCGGUGGCGAAGGCGGGUCUCUGGGCAGUAACUGACGCUGAGGAGCGAAAGCGUGGGGAGCGAGCAGG
rnacentral:rRNA from 1 species